rnacentral:lncRNA from 1 species
CAUCUGGUCCCAAAGCUGCCAGAGCCUUGAGUUCAUCGGAAUCCGAAUCCCCACCAAGCGACCCACUGGGGCCUCAGCUUGUCAGUUUAGGGUUAUCCUGUAAUUAGAGAUAAGGAAAGUGGUCCCCGAGGCUGGGGGACAUGGCACAGGCCACCCACAGGUGAGGGGCAGGUCUGGGGGAGAGUCCAGAUGGACCCCCCAGCGCAGCCCCUGGGGGCCAACAUCCAGGCUGUCCUGGGGUCCCAUGUCUGUUCCCGCUUGCCCCUCUGGAGAGGCUUAUUCCACUGGUGCAUCCCUCGGCUGCCGUCCUGUCUCCCAUCACGUUGACUGUGACAGCGGCCCUGAGCAAACCCUUCUUGUUUCUUCCGGUUCUGCGCAUUCAGGUGUCUCCAGAGGAAGGACGGGAGGCCAGAAGAUCUCCUCACGGCCCCCAUCGUCCCUCCCACCAGCCUCCAACUUCAAAGUAAUCUUAGAGUUUCCGUUAUGAUCCUGAACGGCAGCCUGAUGGCUGGUCUAGCACAGAACUGCCCAGGAGCCCCGUUUUCCAAGCACAGCCUCGCCGUUGCGGGUUUGGAGCUGCGGAGGAGGGAGGGGACGUCUUGCUCCCUUCACCGUGCAGGGACUGUUCAAAUACCUGACGGUGAAGUGGGGCAGCUUCCCCAUCACAGAGGUUUGGGCAAGGAAAAGAGCAGGAAUCUUCUGAUUUCAUUAGACUUUCUUUCCUUUUCCAACAUUGGACAUAAUCUUUAACUAUCAGGGAAAAUGUUACUUUCAACGUGUUUUACCAAAAUCCAGUCUCUCUUUAUGGGUUAUUAACUCCGAAUUAAAAGCCCUAAAUCACAUAGCUGCAUGAUGUCAUCGUUAUAUGCUUUUUAAAUCAGCUGCAUCCUUCCCAGCAUACAAACUGAUUUUCUUGUCCCUGUGUCCUCAUUAAGCAAAACAAAUCAGGGUCCACACGCGGAAUCUCUGCCACAGGACUUCGUGCGCAGCUGUUCUUAAAGGAAGUUCCAGGAGAGGAACAUGUUUGUGUUCUUUAAAAAUUACUGCACCAGAAG